GGGCACGCGCCGCGCGCCGCCGCCGCGGCCGGGGGACAACGAGGAAGCGGCUCCGCGCAGGCGCGGCCGCCCCUCCUCCCCCGGCCCCGCCGUGAGGGAAGGGGGGCCGUGGUAAGGCUAGGGUUUUGGGACCCAUAUGUUCCUUUCUAAAGAAGGCUAAGUCUCAGGAGGCUCAGAAGCCCUCCAUAUGGCCAUGUGAUUGCUGUUGCUGCUGCUGCUGCUUCUUCACGUGAUCCAGCUUUCUGGCACAAAGGCUCGGAGCUCGUACAGAUGAUUGUUAAACAUCAUGAGACUCUGCAAGUGAAUCUCUUGAAGAAAAGCUUGAAAGCCUGGAUGCUGAAGAUCUCAUGUCUCAUCUGUCACGACCAGAAACCUACCUAGAUGAGGAGAAAAGAUCAAGGAAGUAAAACUGACCAAACUAUGGGACUGACAAGGUCACUUAUGCAAACAGGUCAUUUGCCUUGUUCUUGCAGAAAAAACAGGAUGGCACUGGGACCUGAACUCUGACUCUCUGCUGUUUCUGCUGUUCUGGAUGCUGAUGCUGCUAUUUCACAACAGCUGAGCUGGAUCCAGAUGGAAACGAGUGGCCAAACCAGCUAUCCUCACUCAGCUCCUGUGUCAUUUGUGGGUGGAAAUUAACAGCUUCUGCAGCUGAGCAGGGCUGAGACAAUGAGAGGAGUCGGGAUGUCACUAAGAGAUCAUGUCCUCGUAGGAACUGUUCUAUCCCUAGUGCAAAACCAGAGCUGUCCCCACAUGCUAUCUGCUCACCUUUAUUCCUGACCUGCUGCAGGCUAAAUUCCUGGUGGAAGGAGAACAAAGAGAAUAAAAUGUAGUAGUUUAGUGGUCAGUGCAGUGCUCAGUCAGACAGGAGAGGCAGCGAUGCUGCACAACCCCCAUGAAGUUUGUGCCUGCAUCCACCCCUACAGUGCUGUACUUCUCUUUAAACAUCUCUUCCCUGGCCUCUCUCAAGCUGUAAUUGGUAAAGAGCACUUUAAACAUGCUCCAACUGGCAGUAAAAUUCUACUUUUAAAAUAUUGGAUGGUGCAGCUUAUUUGUAUGUUUUGAACAAUAGCACACGAGAAAUUGUAGAUGCUUUUGAGAAAAAUUGCAUUGUGAAAAGCCUCAGAGAAUCUCUUCAUGACCAUUAGGAUUUAAUUAUGGAAGGCAGAAGAGGAAAAAAAACAAAGGACAGUAAGUAAUGGAUUGUUAUAUCGUUAUGAGUCAUAUUGCCUCAGAGGUUUUGUUUUCAGCUGAUGCUGUGUGUAUCAUUAUUAAGUUAUUUUAUUAUUG